UCGGUACUCUCUCCGUUCGGAAAUACUUAUCAUCAAAAUAGAUAAAUUGGAAUGUAUCUAAACAUAUUUUAGUUCUAAAUACAUCAUUUUUUGUUCAUUUUCAUGACAAAUAUUUUCGGACGGAGGAAGUAGCAA
rfam:Triticum urartu cultivar G1812 contig669651, whole genome shotgun sequence.